rnacentral:rRNA from 1 species
UACGUAGGGUGCGAGCGUUAAUCGGAAUUACUGGGCGUAAAGCGUGCGUAGGCGGUUCGUUAAGUCAGAUGUGAAAGCCCCGGGCUCAACCUGGGAACUGCAUUUGAAACUGGCGGGCUUGAGUGUGGCAGAGGGGGGUGGAAUUCCGCGUGUAGCCGUGAAAUGCGUAGAGAUGCGGAGGAACCCCGAUGGCGAAGGCAGCCCCCUGGGCCAACACUGACGCUCAGGCACGAAAGCGUGGGGAGCAAACAGG